GCUAGUGGUUCCUAGUCGUGGGGCACCAUUCCCUUAGUUCUAGGGAGAGGAAAAACAAACAAAAAACCAUCCAAACCAGACACCAUCACACUACUUGUCCCAAUUCUUAGUGGCAUCUCUGGCCCAGCUCUGACGUGUUCUGAAACUCUGCCACUCAGAGCCUUAGUUGACCAACUCUGUAAAAUGGGACCAAAUGCUUCCGUAUUCAUGGGUGAGGAUAGGACUAAAUGACCCGGUACCCCGGUGACGGGAAGGAUGGAGGCACCUUGAAAAACACUAACUGCAGGAAGUGGCUUAUUAAAAACAAACCAAAACUUUAAAGUGGUGUAGGCACAUGGCAAAAAAGAAACUCUCACUCCUACUCCUCAUCCUCCAUGCCUACUUUUCCUCCCUGGAGAUGACAUCACCUUCUUGCAUAUCCUUCCAGAUAGCCUACCCAUGCACAAUUAUUUUUAACACAAACAGAACAUGCCAAGUACAUUAUCCCACACCAUGUGUGUUCUAUUAAGAGUCUAGGGACUAGGGAUGUGGCUCAGUGGUAGAGUGCUUGCCUGACAUGCAGGAAACCCUGAUUCCAAUCCCUUGGCUGCAAACAAACAAACAAAGAGUGGGUCUAAGAGACGGCUGCUUAUAAAUGUCUGUGAGGCUGCCACAUGGUUUCUCAGUGGUGGGGCCAAGUGUUCUCUUAUGUAGAUAUACUGUGCCUAAAGGUAUUUCACCCAACCCCUACUGAUGGGUGUCUAGAUUGCUUUGAGCUUGCUGCAAUGUAUCUUUGAAAGUUCGAAAAUUAUUCCAUCUAACACACAUUCUGGAGAACAUUUAAAAAAAAAA
rnacentral:lncRNA from 1 species